UUGUUGCUAUGUUAUGCAUGUAUCCUCUGCUAACUGUCAUGUGUGUGUGAGACAGAAAGGUGGAGAAAGAAUUCUCUUUGUGAGAGACCCAGUUAGUUUAUAUGAAAAAAGCAGUCCGAACAACUCCUUCCUGUUCGGGAACCAUGAUACGUAUUUGAAAACCGUUGGAAGCGUAUGAGAGGGCUAUUUGUCGUCUCCAAUAGUCCCGCGAUUCAUAUCUCUACCUCACUCACAGUAAUAACAGUGAUGAGACAAAGAUGGUGUGCGCCAAGCUCUGAAAUUUUUUAGAAAUACAUGGAAGUGAAUCUGGGACAGCGUCAGUUAUCCUGGCGCAUGAUUUCGCUCUGAAGCACCUUGACAGAA